GACACCUGGAAUGGUACAAGCCUUGUUUGUGCUAUUUUCCGCCUGUGGAUUACCAACACCCCGAUUUUGCAAAUGAACUUGAGGUGAGCCAGAUUCCAGUCCUGUCCCCACGCCAUCUGCUAGUGCUCACCUCUCCCCCAAAUAACACAGUAGCUCCCCCCAGACGAGGGACACGAGGAAAAAGCUCUUCAAACCAGGAGCAAAUCCCCUGCCCCAUCUGCCUGACCCAGCACUGGGGCCCCCCUCCCCGACCAGGACGCUGGGCCCAUCCCAGAUCCCACUGCUGCUGUGGGGUCUCCCUCCAGUCUCUCUGGCUCCUGUCCCCUGACCUCCCUUCCACAGCAGAGUCACAGUUGGCAACAGGUAGCAAGAACCCUCAGGACAUUUUUGGUAUCUCUGGGAACUCAUCCAAGGACAGGGUUCAAAUAAAGGGAAACACUCCAGGCAGCAUGUGGCCAUCGACUGACGGGGUUACACUUCAGCGUGGAAGGAGCGUUACUUAAAUAAGCCAGGGCCACUCGACAGGGUGUUAGACAACCACACAGCAGGAUAAGUGCUCAGCACAAUUGCAGGAACACUCCCUGAGGGUCCCUCCUUGACCCAAGUACCGGCUUCAGUGGGAAGGAGACCACCGCCCUGGCCCCUGGAGGCUCCUGUUGAGGGGCCCGUCUGGAAGGCUGGUGAGUAUAGGGAGCCAAUUCCACUCUAGUGGACCAUUUCCCAGCCCCAAAGACUUCCUUCUUCCUCUCCGGCAGCCGGAAGCCCCGAGGCUCACUGGAGUGCCCACAGGAAGGAGUCUACCUGGAGACCGUUGGGCAGCAUGGUGACGUGUCUUCCCCACACAGCCUCUCGGACGGGGGCCGAUGGCUUGCCAAGUGGACUGAGGUGUGCUGCCUUCGGUUCCUCCCCUCCCGCCCCUGGCCAGGCCAUUGAUUCAGAAAGGGCAGUGGACUACCGGGCACUGUGUGUUGGCUUCACUUAAUGGGAGGCGUGGAGACUCCUGUACCAAUGGCGGGCACUCUGACCCACACACGGAAGGCCCAGGGAGGGGACCCUCCCACAACCAAAGGACCCUGAGUCCACAGACACGGGACCCUCUCCGUUCCAGUUCUCCAAAACUGGAGGCAGAGCGGGGAGGAGGUGUGGAAGGCCGGCUGGUGCCUGAGACAGGAUCCCUGCGGCCUGCCCAGCCAUGUUUAUGAAGCCAGCGGCUGGGCCAGUUCUGUCGAGGAGGCAGGUGGACCAACUGUGCUGCCUCUGGGCGCCACACUCAGUGGGGAAGAUGCAGAGAUGCUCCUGACCCAGUGUUUCCUCUCUAAGUCCCCAAAAGAGGAAGCACAGCCCCCAGUCCCCAAGGGGCCCCGCACAGGGCCACCCACGCAGGACAGUAUGUGUGCCCUGUGAGCAAGGGCGCUGUGAUGCCAGGGGACUGGGCAGAUGCAGGAACAGCCCUCAUUGAGGGGGAGGAUUCCCAGAAGAGGUAUGUGAUCUGACAGGCAGGUGACAAGAUGACGCAGCAGGAUCAGGGCCCUGCAGAUGGCGGAUGGCAUAGCAAGCCACACAGGCCCUUCACUGGGAGGGGACGCUGCUUGGGGCAGGAGGACAUAUUGAUUUCUAUUCCCACAGCCACACCUGUGCCUACUGGUCCUGUUCGUAACACGGGCUGUUAGAGACACUGUGACCAGAGCUGGCCAGGAGGGGGGCCUGGCUCUCGUUCUUCCACAUCACUGGGUCCCACUACAGAGAGGCCCAUGUCAACCAUAACAAUAUCUAAGUCUGUCAUUUAUUCAGCACUUGCUGUGUGUCACCCUGUCAUUUAACCUUCGGGGAGCCCAGCAGGUGGGCAUUCUCUUCUCCUUUCUAACAGAUGGGGAAACUGAGUCUGAGAAGUGAAAUACAUGCCCAAGCCCCAGCACUGGAGAGGAACAGAGGAGAGGGGCACCCCAGGCUUCUCAAACCCCAGGCUUGCUCUGGAACCCUCGACAGGUCAUAUACCCAUCUCCCCUGGGGUGUGGGGUGGGCCCCAAUUCAUAAGAAAGCAAGGUGUCCACCGGGUACAGUGGCGCACUCCUAUAAUCCCACAGGCUUGGGAGGCUGAGGCAGGAGGAUGGUGACUUCAAAGCCAGCCUCAGCAAUGGUGAGGCACUAAGCAAUUUGGUGAGACCCUGACUCUAAUAAAAUACAAAAUUGGGCUGGGGAUGUGGCUCAGUGGUCCAGUGCCCCUGAGUUUAAUCCCUGGUACUGGGAGUGAGCGAGAGAGAGAGAGAGGUGGGGGCGGAGGGAGGCCGUAGGUGAAGGUCCUGAGCUGGCAAGCAGCAGAGUCAGGAAGGUGCUGGGACUUAGGAAUCUGAGGCCCAUCACCCCACCAGCCCAGCAGCCCUCCAGGGUUGGACCCUGGGCACCUGGGAAGGCACUCACUGCUGCUGGCUGCUACGGCUCCAGUGUGGGCCUUUCUAGAGCAGGGUACUGAGGAGCUCAUGUGUGCCUCGGCCUCCAGCCACUAUCCCAAGAGCCCCGAAGCACUGACCGUCUGCUGGACCCUGGAGUCUUCUACACAUGAGCCAACAGGAGCAGGGAAGGUGGGCGUGAGGGCGCCCGAGACCCCAGGGCUGUGGGAGUUGUCCCUGGUGCAGGGCAGAGGGGGCGGCGGAGGCAGGGAGCAGCCCGCCGGCUGGACCAUAGCCAUGACCACAGAACCCACCCUUCUAACUUGCCACGGUAUCCCCAGGCUAGGGAGGGGACAGAAGGGCAUCCUGGUGAAGGAGCCUGUCCCAACAGCCCAGGAGAAGGAGCAAGGGCGGGGGGGCUCAAGCCCCUGACGCCUGGUCUUCCCUGCCCAGGUACAAGUGCAGCCUUCCGCCUCGGCACCGGAGGGUCAAAGCUGCCACCCCUGACUCUGCAUGGAUCAACUGUCCAAAAGUCCCCUCAGGCUGUCCUGGGUUUAGCCAUUCUCCUAAUCUUGGCCACGCAGAGAGGAGAGGAGGGCCUGCCAUGCAGGAGGCCUGGGCUCUGGAGAUACUCUGUUUCUUCCCAGUCCAGCUCUCCGGCUAUUGGCUGUGCUCUGUGGGUUAACUGAUGCACCCCCUCUGAGCCUCAGUCCCGUCAUUUGUGAAGCAGGAGAGGGCAGCAGUCGCCCUGGGACGGCUGCGGAGCUGUACCUGCCCGUGUGCAGGGCUGGUGGAAGUGCAGGACCCCAGUCAGCUGGAGUUCAGCCGAGCCUCAGAACCCAGGGCAGAUGUGGGUUAGCCUGGAGCACUGACACCGAGUGCCUUGGAGAAUCCCAGAAGCCCUAAGAGCCAGGGUCUCCAAACCCACUCCAUUAGCCCCAAGUCAGGAAGCCAGGAGUUAAAUCCCCUACUCUGAGCACCAGUAUCCCCCUGAUGGCCCUUCUUCCAGGCCCCUGGGUCUGCUCAGCCCUGCAGGUCCAGAUGCCCAGAGAGACAGCAUUCACAGCUACCCUACAGCCUCCAACCUGGGUGGUGACAGCCAAAGGUGACAGCCAAAGCCCCCUUAUCACAGCCCCACCCCUCAGCGGCACUACCCUUAUCUGGAGCUUGCCUCCUUUGAAAUUCACACCGUUGUAUUAUUUCUCCUCAAAGAGGCCUUCCAAAUUCUAAAAGCUUCAGGCCCUAGAACCAGAACUUCACCUGCACAUGACCUAAUUAAGGUGUCUGUUUUUCCUUUUAAAUCAUGAAGAUUCUGAGGACAUGGCUCUUGUCCUCUGGUGCUCAGCAAAGUGACCACGAGGUGCUCACGGAUGCUCUGAUCGGGAGGAAAUGCCUGAGUUCUGAGUGGCCCUGCCCGUAACUGUGUCUAGGAGAAAACAGGCCUGGCCACAGCCUGCCCACAGGGAAGAGCGUGCCCGGCUGACCUCUGAGCAACGUGUCCCUCUCACCAGCAGUGGGGUCUGGUUCCAGACACCUGACACAGCCCGCCUCACCCACACCUGGCUGUGUCCUCCGCCUGCCCCCUCCCUGCCACUCAGAUGCCUGUGUUUCCUCGUCCCCAGCCCCAGCCCUGGCGAGGAGCUCAGCUCCCUAGGACUCAGUCGGCUUUGAGCAACACUUAUUGAUGACGCAUGAAGGGGCGGCCGCUGGCCCACGCACAUGCUGCCUGCUUCUGCCGGUCCCAGUGGUACAGAUGUGUUAAAGUCAAGGCUCUGCCAGGAAAACCCCAGGGCACAAGAGGAAACGCUCUCACUGGCUCACAGAGAGGAGGGUUCUGGGGCCACGCCCUAACUCUGAGGCAGGGCUCUGCAAACAGAGCUGCAGCCACGCACCCUCUGCCUGGAAAUGCUCAUGACACAUGCAGAGCAUCAUGUGCGUUCACAUGCCGGGUGUCUGCACGCAGCUCCGUGGAGGACUGAAUCGGAGCGACGGAGACCACACACAGGGUUCUGGGAGUGAAGGACGCCGUGUCCCAUGAACACGAUUCAGAUGGCCUUGCCACCAUGAGAGCCAGAGAGACCUGUGGAAAAGCCCUUCUCCACCUUCUGCCCUGCUUUACUCUGAAACUUGGUGUAUUCCCGGGCCUGCAGCUCACAGGCUCACUGUGGGCUGCCAGUGUGACUAGGUGUGCAAGCUGGCACAAGUCAGUCAGUACCCAGGGCCUCGCGUUGCUCAUCCGUUGGCAUCAGCGGUAACAGCACACGACGUGGGGUCUGAGACAGGGCCUGAUCCACAGCUUAAUAAGUGUGGUUUCUGGGGGUGUGCAGUUGGGAAUGGGAAGAUAGCUCAGCCCCAAGACAGGUGUAAAUUUCAAGAAAGUUCUCGGGGCAAACACACGGUUUUAACAUAUAGGUAAGUGAAUUUACAAAUGAUGGAGAUGACGUACAUGGUUAGAUAUGGGAAUGUGGGUAGGCGUGGGCCCUGAGCCUUCCCCCCUACACCCCGAUUCUGUCUGCUCAGAGGGCCUAGAAGCAAUGCCACCCCAGGAGGAACACUCUCCCAGCGGCUGGAUCUUGGUUUCUAGACACCAUUCUCCACUGGAAGGAACCGAGGCUUCUUGACCAAAUGCUGAGUCCUCAGAAAACAAAGGCUGUUUUCAGAUCUAGAUCCACAGGGCACAGAGCAAUAGAGCCUCUUCUCACCAGCGGAGCCUCUGCCUGCCUCUUGCUAAUCCUCGGGCAACCUGAGGAUGAGGAAGCCAGCACCUGUGCCCAGCUGGGGCCUUUGCCCAGACCUGGUGGCCACCUGGAGAUCUCUCUGGUCCCUCUUGGGUCCUUCAAUCAGAUCUUCUGACCCGCCUCUGAUUCUCGUUAUGCACCAGGUGGAACCUCCUAUUGUGCCCCAAGUCCUGUCCCAUCCAGGAUGCUGGGACGCCAGCCAGGUCUUCUGUGUAAGCCUGGUCAUGGGGCCCCUCGGUGGCGUGCUCCCUCACAGCAGGUUCAGGGGCGUGACGGGCAGCCCAUUUUCUGUGCACUGGUCCUUCCUCAGGCUUCCAGGACUCAGAGCCGCCCUGUCCUCCGCUUGUAUCCUUCCUCUCUCCGUUUCCUGAUCUCUCCGCUCGCUCAUGAGCGUGUGGCCUGGCUCACUCCUUCUCAGGAAGGCUUCCCGGGCGUCUGGCCUGCCUGUGACCACAGCAGGCUCCAGCUCCAAGCUCUGCUCUGUCCCCUACACAAAACAAUAAGCCCCAAGGCCCACGUGCCUCGCUUGACGGGCAGAGACCCGGGCUCCCCAAAGGGAUUUUAAGUCAUUCCACUGCCUUCUUGAAGAGACAGGGGUGGAGCAGUUGCCCGGCAGGGGCGGCCCCGUGUUCAAACUCCAGAGCCACGGGGGGCGGGGUGGGGGAGAGAAAGAGGAAGAACGAUUCUCACCAAUGAUCACACAGAAAACAGCCACAGAGGCCCUCUCACCAACCUUGGUGGCCUCCACGGGUACAACUGUGCCGGAGCUGGGUUAGGGACGGGCAGAGGAAAGUGACAGGUCCCAGGGUGAUGACCAUCUUCUCAAGCCAUGUUCUGUGAGGAUGGAAAUGUCCCUGGAUCCUCUCUGACUCAUGUGGUGGCCACCAGUCCCCAUGUGGCUACUGAGCACUUGAAACGUGUGACAGAGAACUGGGUAUUUCACUGCCUUUACUUUUAACUAUUAAAAUUGAAGCAGCCACAGAUGUGGGGGCUUCAUGGGGACAGCUCAGCUCUAGACGGGGUGGGCGCCCUUCCUCUGUCGAGGACCCGAGAGCACCUACGUCAGGCUUGUCCUGGGCCCUGCUGCUGGGCAGUGGAGACCCUGAUGCCUGGACAUGAGACGCGGCGGGCCGGCUGGAUCUCCCUGCUGACAAAUGGUCCCAAACCUCAGUGCCUUCAAACGGCCGGAGUUAGGACUGCUCCUGAUGCUGCGGGUCGGCGGGCCUCUCUCUUGGUCUGGGCAGCUUGGCUGGAGCUCUGUUGCUUUAUUUAUGAAAACCGGCCACGUUUUAAAGCUUUCUCCAAGACACAGCAGACUGCCAUGCCAGACCUCCUCGGGGGUGACAGAACAUUAUUAAAGCAUGUUCCCACCCAGGUGUCCCUAUCAUCUUCUUGAGAACUCGCAAGGACGUCCUUGGAGGAACAGCCAGGCUGCUUAUGACCUUAGCAGAGCUGCAUCGUCCCCGAGGGACAACACAGAGGACAUGCACCUCUUCCACGGGCAGCCCUCUUUACAGAGUGUCUGGCCGAGUUACAGAGACUGAGAAGCAGGGGAACAUCUCCCCUCCUCUGCAACAUAAUCCACAGAAAAAUCUGGAAAGUCGCCUCUCACCAGCACCGGGUGGAGACAGUCGCUUUACUCAGCUGGCUGAGUGACUGUCCACCUCAGGCCCACAGGUAGAGUCGAGCAGGCCCAAGGCAGCACAGACUUGCUGACCACAGCCUGGGAGAUGCCGAGGGCCCCCCGCGGCCACUUGCAGGGGGAAGACCAGCUGAGCACAGAGGGAAGCAGGGACGCAGAAGUCAGCCCUGACGCUGGAUUCAUCCCCGGCCUUUUUGAGACACGACUGUGUAAAGGCAACUGGCCACAGGCUUGUCCCCACCCCACCAACCACUGUCAGGUCACUCAGACUCCAACAAGCACCCCUCUGUUCAUGCUCACCGCAGGCACAGAGAGGGCCUCGGAAGUCCUGCCCAGGAGCUCAGGCGGGCAGAGGACACAGAACGACGCACAGAUGCUCAGGGCACUGGGCGCAGGGAUGAAGGGCAUUCUGGAGAAUGAAGUGUUCUAGCCAGCUUUCCGCCACUCUGACCAGAAGACAUGACAACAUAGAGGAAGAAAAGUUGAUGUGCUCAUGGUUUCCGAGGUCUCAGUUCACACGCGGCCAGCUCCGCUGCUCAGGGCCCAAGACGAGGCAGAACAUCAAGAAUGUAGUGGGGGGGGGGGGCAAAGCAGCUCAGAACACGGCCACCAGGAAACAGUCCUGGCACCUAGGACAAAACAUAAACCCCAGAGAGACGGCCCCCGGGGACCCACCUCCCCCAGCUACACCCUGCCCACCUCUGUCACCUCCCAGUUAAUCCCCACCACGGAUCAGUCCACUGACUGGGUCAAGGCUCUCAUAACCCAAUCGUUUCACCUCUCAUCUUCCUUGCAUCGUCUCACACACGAGCUGCUGGGGUCCCCUCGUGUCCACGCCAUAACACUAAGGAAUGACGAGCUCCGUCCCAAUGGAAGAAGAACGUGAAGAGCCCAUUGCCUUUAUAGCUGCUGCUGGAGUGAGGCACAGGUGACGUGCCAUUGGACAAAAGCAAAAGAUUUAAGGGACGUUUCUCCAAUGAGCAGGUGAAGGUACGAGGUCAGGCCAAGGCCAGAGAGCAAGGGCUCGAGAAGACCAGCUGGCAACAGGAGCAACGCCGUGCCCGUCCUCGGGGGCCCCUCCUCAUGUCCCAGGGUCACCACCCCCAUCAUUCCCACAUUACACGGGUAGCUGAGGCUUGGAGAGCUUUUGAGAGUAAACUCGUCCAGGAUCACAGAGGCAGGGACAGCCAACAACGGCGACGGAGACCAUCGCCGUUCUGUCUGCACCGGAAGUUUCCAGCGUAACACAGCUGCAGUGGCCUCUGCCUCCCCUUCCGACUUGAGCUGGAGUCCAUUUCUCCACCCCACGAAUCUGAGCUUGCUGCGGCCAGUGGCACAAUAGCAAAAUGUGACACAAACAAAGGCUUUUACAAGUGUUCAUGCAUCAAGUUCCCUCUUCUGGCUGAGGAUCAUGCUCCACCACAUUGGGCAGGCCCUAGCCAGCCCCUCAGAGGAUGAGGAACAGCGUGGAGACAGGCCACCAGCUGGCUGAGCCCCCACAUCUGUUUGUGAGGCCAUCAGAAGCAACCGAGCCCAGCCAAGACGCACAGACCACAAGAAAUGCCCACCGACCUCAGAACCACAGCAAUCACAACUGUUUGCUGUGGUAAACCCUGAGGCCUGGGGCUGCUGGGCUGCAGAGAAAGUCAGCUCACGUGACCACCAGUGAUGUCCAUGUCGGGGGCCAUGGCCACAGAGCAUGUUAGGAAGGAGGGUCUGUGCUGGCGACUGGCAAGAGGAGGACUGGGGGCAAGGGCAGGAACAGGAGACUGCAGAGCUCUUUCAGGGGUGGGACCAACAGGCUUAGUGACCGACUGAGCCCAGAUCUGUCUAAAGGCAUCCUCUGGCUCUGGGCCAGGUGUGCUGUUGACUGUACACAGACCUGCUUGGAGCUCACUGGUAGGAGCAGGAGGUUUACAUGGAAGAACUCAGAAGUGGCCACAGUGAAGGCCGGGCAGGUGAGCGUCUGGAAUGGAAGGCCACGGGACCUAGGCUUUCUCAGGCCCUCGCCACUGGAAGGGGAAUGUCAGUGAGGGAAUCACAGGUGGCCUCUAUGCCACCUGCUCCAGGCCAGCCCCUCUCUUAGCAGCAGCCGGAGGGAUCCCACCAAGAGUCCCCAGGCCACAGGUCACCACAUCCCAACCAUUCCCAGGGAGCUUCCAGUUGGGAACAGCCCUGAACGUUCACUGCUGAACCGUCCCUGCAGCCGGCUGAGACACAGGAGCCACACGAGCAAGGAAAUCACCAGGGCCCAUUUUCUGGGAGGGACUUUAUGUGACUUGAAGAGACCACAGAGGAGGAAACCAAGUACCACAAGGUGGUUCCUCCAGAGAGGCGGGCCCUGGGUCACCCCGCCUCAGAGCGGAGCAGUGGACGGGCCGAGGGCUUAGACUCCAGCCUGCACCGAUGGCGGCCUCCUCCCAUGGCGGCCCUUCACCUAUCCCCUUCACUUGUCCCCACCCCACCCACAGCCACAGCUACCAACUCGGGACCUCAGCUGGCACUGCUGAGAAAUGUCUCCCAGCUCCAGCUGGAGCACAGAUUAAAACAAAUUCCAGUCAAACAAA